rnacentral:tRNA from 1 species
CGUAAUGUAGCUUAACCCAAAGCAUCUCGCUUACACCGAAAAAAUGUCCGUGAAAAUCAGACCAUUCCGA